GUGCCAGCCGCCGCGGUAAUACGUAGGGCGCGAGCGUUGUCCGGAAUUAUUGGGCGUAAAGAGCUCGUAGGCGGCCGGUUGCGUCUGCUGUGAAAUCCCGGGGCUUAACCCCGGGCGUGCAGUGGAUACGGACAGACUAGAGGUAGGUAGGGGAGAAUGGAAUUCCCGGUGUAGCGGUGAAAUGCGCAGAUAUCGGGAGGAACACCGGUGGCGAAGGCGGUUCUCUGGGCCUGUUCUGACGCUGAGGAGCGAAAGCGUGGGUAGCAAACAGGAUUAGAUACCCCGGUAGUCC
rnacentral:rRNA from 1 species